UACGUAGGGUGCGAGCGUUGUUCGGAAUCACUGGGCAUAAAGCGCACGUAGGCGGCGGCGUAGGUUGGAUGUGAAAUCCCCCGGCCCAACCGGGGAACUGCGUCCAGUACUGCGUUGCUUGAGGAUCCAAGGGGCGCAUGGAAUUCCCGGUGGAGCGGUGAAAUGCGUUGAUAUCGGGAGGAACUCCGGCGGCGAAAGCGGUGCACUGGUGGAUUACUGACGCUGAGGUGCGAAAGCCAGGGGAGCAAACGGG
rnacentral:rRNA from 1 species